GAUGAACGCUGGCGGCGUGCCUAAUACAUGCAAGUCGAGCGAAUGGAUUAAAAGCUUGCUCUUAUGAAGUUAGCGGCGGACGGGUGAGUAACACGUGGGUAACCUGCCCAUAAGACUGGGAUAACUCCGGGAAACCGGGGCUAAUACCGGAUAACAUUUUGAACCGCAUGGUUCGAAAUUGAAAGGCGGCUUCGGCUGUCACUUAUGGAUGGACCCGCGUCGCAUUAGCUAGUUGGUGAGGUAACGGCUCACCAAGGCAACGAUGCGUAGCCGACCUGAGAGGGUGAUCGGCCAAACUGGGACUGAGACACGGCCCAGAGUCCUACGGGAGGCAGCAGUAGGGAAUCUUCCGCAAUGGACGAAAGUCUGGCGGAGCAACGCCGCGUGAGUGAUGAAGGCUUUCGGGUCGUAAAACUCUGUUGUUAGGGAAGAACAAGUGCUAGUUGAAUAAGCUGGCACCUUGACGGUACCUAACCAGAAAGCCACGGCUAACUACGUGCCAGCCGCCGCGGUAA
rnacentral:rRNA from 1 species